rnacentral:lncRNA from 1 species
GGGCCGGGACGCGUCCGCCCACCCCGCCGCCGACCCCGCCGCCGACCCCGCCGCCGACCCCGCCGCUCCGCCUGCGCCCCGCACCGGCCGCCGCCUCCCCUGCUGCCCUCCCGCCGCGGGCCCUGGGAAACUCACUGGCCCGCGCCGAACCACGGCCCAGGCCCUGGCCGCCGUGCCCGGCUGCUCCGCGCUGUCCGGAGCCGUUCCGCGCCCCACACCGGUCCCGACCGUCCGCCUGCUCCCCGCCUCCUCCGCGCCUCUCCCGGUCGCCGCCCGGCCGCCGCCUUUUCUCUCCUCAGCCUUGGCCUCCUCCUCCGAGCCCCGCCCCACUGUGCCCCGCCCACCGGCCUGGCUCGGCCCGGCCGAGGUGGUUUGCUCCACGGGGACGCGCACGCAGGGCCGGGCAGGGGCGUGCACGCCGCCCUCUGACCCCGCCCCGUUGCCGCGGAGCGCCGGCCCUGGAAACUUGGGCCCGAGCGACCUUCGCCUGCGAGGCGAUUUCCCCACGCCGGGUGUGGCUCUGCCCCCACGGUACCAAGUCCUGUUCGAUCUUACAAUCUUGCAGUCUCGGGAGAAGUCUAGAGCGCUCAUUUCAGAGGAAAUAGGCCCAAGAAGAGCGACUGGCUUUCUGGAACUCUGAGUACAUCUGUACCACCACACUGUCUCUGCCCGCAGACUCCUCAAGGCAGCAGCUCCUCAGACCAUCACGUGGCGACCACCUCUGAUGCCUGGCAACCACCUCCCCUUUACCUCCCCCUUAAAAACCUUCACCCCUCCCCAUGCUGACUCCCUUCUUGGACUCAGCUUGCUCACUCCUGAGUGAAUAAACAGCAUAAUUGCUCACAUAAAGCCUGC